CACAGUUGCCCACCCACAAACGGAUUAGCUAGCAUGGACAGAGUUGUGUGCACCUCUCUUGUAGUCCUCGCGCUAGCUGUGCUCGCCGGCCCGGGCACGAAGGCGGCGGCGCUCGCCGGUGGCACUGCCAGCAUGGACGCGGGGUCGACGGUGCGACCUCAGCUGAUGUCAGCGACGCAGUCGUUGUCCAUGAAGCUGGAGGACGGCGUGGCGCCGGAGCUUGCGGCGGCAUCGGUGGUGAACCUGGAGGUGCACCGCCGCGUCCUUGGUGAGAUCAACCCAGACGUCCUGGGAAAAGAUGUCUGCAUGCCGCGUUGUCCGGCGAAGGGACAGCCGUACACAGGCCAUGCAUGCAAAAACAUUUACAAAUGCCCAAAUACCUGA
rnacentral:rRNA from 1 species